UUUUCCGGUUGAUCCUGCCGGAGAUCACUGCUAUUGGAUUCCGAUUAAGGCAUGCGAGUCGAGAGGGUUCGGCCCUCGGCUGACGGCUCAGUAACACGUGGACAAUCUGCCCUUGGGUGGGGGAUAAUCUCGAGAAAUUGAGCAUAAUACCCCAUAGUUUUAGGUUGCUGGAAUGCUCUUAAGGCAAAAGCCCCGGCGCCCAAGGAUGAGUCUGCGGCCUAUCAGGUUGUAGUGAGUGUAACGGACUCACUAGCCGACGACGGGUACGGGUCCUGGAAGGGAAUGCCCGGAGAUGGACUCUGAGACACGAGUCCAGGCCCUACGGGGCGCAGCAGCUACGAAAACUUCGCAAUGCGGGAAACCGCGACGAGGGGAAUCCAAGUGCUAAUACUUUGUAUUAGCUGUUUACUUGCCUAAAAAGCAGGUAGAGUAAGGGCUGGGUAAGACUGGUGCCAGCCGCCGCGGUAAUACCAGCAGCUCGAGUGGUGGUCGUUGUUAUUGGGCCUAAAGCGUCCGUAGCCGGUUUGGUAAACCCUUGGGUAAAUCGGGCAGCUUAGCUGUCCGACUUCUGAGGAGACUGCUAGACUUGGGACCGGGAGAGGUCAGAGGUACUUCUGGGGUAGGGGUGAAAUCCUGUAAUCCUAGAAGGACCACCAGUGGCGAAGGCGUCUGACUAGAACGGGUCCGACGGUAAGGGACGAAGCCCUGGGUCACGAACCGGAUUAGAUACCCGGGUAGUCCAGGGUGUAAACGCUGCGGGCUUGGUGUUGGGGGUCCUACGAGGGCGUCCAGUGCCGGAGAGAAGUUGUUAAGCCCGCCGCCUGGGGAGUACGGUCGCAAGAUUGAAACUAAAGGAAUGGCGGGGCAGCACAGGAAACGGAGAGGUC
rnacentral:rRNA from 1 species